rnacentral:rRNA from 1 species
GAUGAACGCUGGCGGCGUGCCUAAUACAUGCAAGUCGAGCGAACGGACGAGAAGCUUGCUUCUCUGAUGUUAGCGGCGGACGGGUGAGUAACACGUGGAUAACCUACCUAUAAGACUGGGAUAACUUCGGGAAACCGGAGCUAAUACCGGAUAAUAUUUUGAACCGCAUGGUUCAAAAGUGAAAGACGGUCUUGCUGUCACUUAUAGAUGGAUCCGCGCUGCAUUAGCUAGUUGGUAAGGUAACGGCUUACCAAGGCAACGAUGCAUAGCCGACCUGAGAGGGUGAUCCGCCAAACUGGAACUGAGACACGGUCCCGAAUCCUACGGGAGGCAGCAGUAGGGAAUCUUCCGCAAUGGGCGAAAGCCUGACGGAGCAACGCCGCGUGAGUGAUGAAGGUCUUCGGAUCGUAAAACUCUGUUAUUAGGGAAGAACAUAUGUGUAAGUAACUGUGCACAUCUUGACGGUACCUAAUCAGAAAGCCACGGCUAACUACGUG